AUGCCGGCAGCCUGGACGCCGCCCCCUGCCCGCGGGAGGAUCCCAUCCCCCACGCCCGGAUCCGCCUCCUCGGACCUGAUCCAUCCCGGCGCCCACGCCGACGCUCGGAUCCGCAUCCACGGAUUCCAGAUCGAGGCAGGGGCUCACCGUCGACCACCUCUCCCCUCGAGUGUCACGGAUGGGGAGUUGGGCAGUGGUCGGUGCGCCAGCGGUGCACUCUGGUGGUGCUUGCAGUACGUGGGCAUGCCGGCUGGCGUCAGAUCUGGACAUCCUUGCGCGAUGUCGGCAGCGGCUUCACCUACCUCCAACCUUCCUUCUACCUCUGAGUGCGGAUCCCCUCCCCUCCGUCUCCUCCUUCUACCUCCAACUUCCCUCCGCUGCCGGCCGGUGCGGCCUCGACUCCUGCGCCAACAACCGAACUCCCGCGCCACCAACGGCAGCAACAUGUGCGGCAGUGGACUGCAACCCCAGUGGAUCCACUUCACGAUAGAUGCAGUCAACGCCCCUGCAGUGCACAUCGAUCACGCGAUUCCCCUGCAGGUGGUCGCAGUAGUCUACUCGGGAUUCCUCGGUCGUGCCUCUCCUCUUGGACACCACAAGCAAGCCGGCGAAAUCCUGUUCCUCUUCUUCCCCUCCGCUGGGUCUGCCGCCACGGGCGCUGCUGUGGAACACUUGCCCAACAGUACAGCUGCCGUUAAUUUGUCUUCAGAUUUUGCUUGCUUGAGUACUGUGCCUUUUUUUGCAGAUUGUUCUGUAGCUCACUUCGGCGCCUAUUGCAGUUUCUGGCGUGCAUGGGUGCAGUGCGGCAGGAGCAUGUGUGCAGUCCGCCGGCGUGGCAGGAGCAAAAAAAAUGAUGUAACUGCUUGUAAUUUUAUUUUGGGUUUGAGGAGUGCUUUGUGA
rnacentral:rRNA from 1 species